AGGAAAGCAUGCAGCUUCUCUAUGAGGUCUUUGUGACAGCUUUAAAUUGAAAACAGCAGCCAGAACUUGACAUGUUAUGGAGUUCAUCACAAAACGCUCUUCAUGAUUCUACAAACACAAACAAGGUGCCUUGUCCUAAAAGCUCGUGUUUUGGGCCUUCGGGGUUUGGAGGGGCACAGGUCCUCGCUGAGCCUCAACACAUGCCGUGUUCUGGCACACAAGAGUCCUCUUUCUUGGCUUGUGACUGUUUGUAUUGUAUAUGAGUAAAGUAGGAACUGAAAGGUCUAGAGCAAGCAGUCACUGAAAUCCAUACAGGUUCAAUCACAAAUUUGGAAGAUAACAUCUCCAGUGGAGAUGAGCAUAACGGUAUGCUAUAGCAUGCUAAAGCUAAACCACAAGCAAGCAAGCAAGCAAGCAGUAAGUAAGUAAGUAAGUAAGUAAGUAAGUAAGUAAGUAAGUAAGUAAGUAAGUAAUUAAGUAAGUAUGUAAGUAUGUAAGUAAGUAUGUAAGCAAGUAAGUAUGUAAAUAAGUAAGUAAGUAAGCAAGUAAGCAAGUAUGUAAGUAUGUAAGUAAGUAAGUAUGUAAGCAAGUAAGUAAGUAAUUAAGUAAGUAUGUAAAUAAGCAAGUAAGUAAGUAAGUAUGUAAGCAAGUAAAGUAUGUAAGUAAGCAAGCAAGUAAGUAAGUAGGUAAGUAAGUAAGUAAGUAAGUAUGUAAGUAAGUAUGUACGUAAUAUGUCAGUAAGUAAGUAUGUAAGUAUGUAAGGAAGUAAGUAAGCAAGUAAGUAAGUAAGUAAGCAAGAAUGUAAGUAAGUAUGUAAGUAUGUAAGGAAGUAAGUAAGCAAGUAAGUAAGUAAGUAAGCAAGUAAGUAUGUCAGCAAGAAAGUAAGUAAGUAUGUCAGUAAGUAAGUAAGUAAGUAUGUAAGUUAAUAAGUGAGUAAGUAAGUAAGUAUGUAAGUAAGUAAGUAUGUAAGCAAGAAAGUAAGUAUGUAAGCAAGUAAGUAAGUAAGUAUGUAAGUAAGUAUGUAAGUAAUUAAGUAAGUAUGUAUGCAAGUAAGUAAGUAUGUAAGUAAGUAAGUAAGUAUGUAAGUAAGUAUGUAAGUAAGUA
ensembl:lncRNA